rnacentral:rRNA from 1 species
AUUGAACGCUGGCGGCAUGCCUUACACAUGCAAGUCGAACGGCAUCGCGGGAAAGCUUGCUUUCCUGGCGGCGAGUGGCGAACGGGUGAGUCACACAUCGGAACGUACCGGCUAGUGGGGGAUAACCCGUCGAAAGACGGGCUAAUACCGCAUACGCUCUUCGGAGGAAAGCAGGGGACCUUUGGGCCUUGCGCUAGUCGAGCGGCCGAUGUCCGAUUAGCUAGUUGGUGGGGUAAAGGCCUACCAAGGCGACGAUCGGUAGCGGGUCUGAGAGGACGAUCGGCCACACUGGGACUGAGACACGGCCCAGACUCCUACGGGAGGCAGCAGUGGGGAAUCUUGGACAAUGGGGGCAACCCUGAUCCAGCAAUGCCGCGUGGGUGAAGAAGGCCUUCGGGUUGUAAAGCCCUUUCGGCAGGGAAGAAAUCGGCGGGGCGAAUAACCCUGCUGGAUGACGGUACCUGCAGAAGAAGCACCGGCUAACUACGUG